ACAGGGGGAUAACAGUCAGGAAUGACUGCUAAUACCGCAUAAGCGCACAGAGCUGCAUGGCUCGGUGCGAAAAACUCCGGUGGUAUAAGAUGGACCCGCGUUGGAUUAGCUAGUUGGUGAGGUAACGGCCCACCAAGGCGACGAUCCAUAGCCGGCCUGAGAGGGUGAACGGCCACAUUGGGACUGAGACACGGCCCAGACUCCUACGGGAGGCAGCAGUGGGGAAUAUUGCACAAUGGGGGAAACCCUGAUGCAGCGACGCCGCGUGAAGGAAGAAGUAUCUCGGUAUGUAAACUUCUAUCAGCAGGGAAGAAAAUGACGGUACCUGACUAAGAAGCCCCGGCUAACUACGUGCCAGCAGCCGCGGUAAUACGUAGGGGGCAAGCGUUAUCCGGAUUUACUGGGUGUAAAGGGAGCGUAGACGGAUGGACAAGUCUGAUGUGAAAGGCUGGGGCUCAACCCCGGGACUGCAUUGGAAACUGCCCGUCUUGAGUGCCGGAGAGGUAAGCGGAAUUCCUAGUGUAGCGGUGAAUGCGUAGAUAUUAGGAGGAACACCAGUGGCGAAGGCGGCUUACUGGAUCGGUAACUGACGUUGAGGCUCGAA
rnacentral:rRNA from 1 species